GCCAGCGUGCACUGAUGUGUUUUGUUUCUCUUUUUCCAAGGUGCACUGCAACUCUCUCCACCUGCUUCCCCAGAGUCUGGUGUGCAUUACUCCGCAUCUUCAGGGCCUCAGCAUGCAAUGAAAGAUGCAGCAACCCAGGCGGAUGAGAUACACUUUGAGGAAAGCCCCACAAUCAAAAAACGGAGACCACCUGCACAAGAUGCAACCACUCAGACAGAGCCUAUAGAGAAUCCGCCUCGUUUGGUCAUAGUGGAAGUUCCUGAGCCACCAGAUAGUGUCCAAGCUCCACCUAGAUCAUCAACACCUGCUGCGGAGCCCCCACCUUUUUCAUUGACAGUUUCAUCACCAGGGCAUGAUGACACAGCAGAUAUUGUCAGUUUUGAGGAGGAGCCCAGGUCAGAGGCUUUGUGUGAUGACCCAUCAUAUCAACUGAGCUCAGAGCUUGGCUAUGACAGUGAUGGAGAGCCAAUAGAUGUGGUUCAUACGCGUCAUCUUGUUGAUG